AAAAUGCGAUACGCAAUGCGAAUUGCAGAAUUCCGCGAAUCAUCAGAUCCUUGAACGCAACUGGCGCUGGAGGGCUCUCCUUCCAGCAUGCCUGUUUCAGUGUCUGAAAACUUCCACAAAAAUAUCAUAAUGUGUUUGACGAGUUGUCUGCCAAUUUAUUGGCUGAUUGACAAGUCUUACAUUAAAGAUGUAUUGCGUGGGGUCAUCGGGUCCCAUCGAAUUGGUCACUGACACUUCAGUGAUUUCGAUUGUGGAUACUUCAAACCGAAGACCAAAUACAUGCGCAAUAGAAUCAUUUAAACAAACUUCAACAUCUGCAUCUGAAAUCAGGCAAGAACACCCGCUGAACUUAA
rnacentral:misc_RNA from 1 species